rnacentral:lncRNA from 1 species
AAGUCCAGCAGCAGUGGAUUCAAUAACUUCAACACCUCUAACAACUCAAUCGACUCGGAGAAAACCAGAAAAUAUAGUGAUUGAAUAGAAAUCAGAAAACCAACUCUAGACUUCCUUCUUCUUCCCUUUUUAUGACCUUUUUCCUUGCCUUUUUGGGAGUUCUGAACUUUUUCUAAAUAUGAAGACUAGAGGUUGAAAUCCAGAUUUUUGUUUGAAUUAAAAAAAAUUAGGAGAAGAUAGUGAAUUCUCUGAAAAUCUCCCUCGUUAGUGUGAAAAUCAGUCUCAAAAAUGAAGAAAAGAGUAUGAAUUUCAGAGGGUGUUUUCGUGUGUAUGAGUGAGUGACAUAUGGCCUCUUAUAUAGAGUGUGACAAUCUGUUAUGUGCACAGAAAAAUCAGAGAAUAAUUCUGGAAUGUCAGUCCCUAAAAUUUAGAAAAAGCAUCUUUUUCAACUAAAAAUGGAUAGCUGUCCUUGUUUCUAGAUAAUUCUUUUUAUUUCCUACCCUUUAGCUUCUAAAAAUCACAUUUUUAACCCUAAACUGACCUAAUUCUUUCAUUUUAUUGCACUUUAGCCCUUUUUCUAGAAGCUUCUUCUAAGCUAUCAACAAAUGAAAUUGUUCUCCUCUUAAUCAAACCUGUACUACCUUUCUUAUGGACAAUACCUAGACAUCUGGGCUGCCUGGCCAGCAGGCCCAACUCUUCAAGCUAAAAGCCAUAUCAAAUGGGCCUGCCUGUCAAUAUAGCAGGCCCAACAUCUGAACAAAAUACACAAUCAAAUCUACUAGUUGGCUGAAUUAAUCCUUAAUCUAAGAAACAACAAAUUAAGAGUUAUUACCAUCCUACUUGAACUUGAAAUUACUAAAUGCAGCAAAAAGAAAAAGAAAAGAAAAGAAAAAGCUGAACCGAGAGAUGGAAUAAUAAAAUACUGACUAAUAAGGAAAGAAGAUCGAUCUACCUACUGGCUCCAAGUGAAAAGAGUGAGAAGGAAGUCCCCAAAACUGUAUAGGCUCGAGCACGAAACGUCCCAUUACUGCCUUGAACUUCAGUGGCUUCGAAACAAACUAAAACUAACAUAAAUUGAUUGAUCUCGUCAAGAGCAAUUGAUUCACGUAAAUUUGAGCCGAAUCGAAUCAAAUCUCAAAGAUAAACAAGAAAAAAAGAAAAAAAACUAGGGUUUCUGGGAUUCUAUGAUCUAAAAUUUAUGAGAUUUGAGUGGCUUUUUGGGGAAAUUGAUGAGGGGUUAGGGAUGAAGAGGGUGUGAGGAUUAUGAGGUGUUAAUUUGGGGUGGUUUGGAGUGGCGCCGUCGCCAUGGACGGUUUUCGGCGACGCAGAUGGCUGGGGUGAGAGAGUGGUGAGGGAGGUGAGUUUUUGGGAGGUCUCUAGGGUUUGGGAGGGGGGGGGGGGGGUCCAAUUCGGAUAGUUAUAAGGGGGGCAGGUGAUGAGUUGUGGACCGUAAAAUCGAUAAGAGAUCAACGGAUGAGAUUUGUUUGGGGGUAAAACACGGGCGUUUUAAUUAAAGAGGGAGAUGGACCGGUUUGGUUGGUGAAGAUUUGGCUGGGAGGUGAGUUUGACCAGAUUUUAUAAUUGGGCUGAUGGCGUUUUGCCCAAUUUGCACACAAGGCAAAUGGCCUCUUUCAUUUUCUUUAUUUUUCUUUCUUUUUCUUUGAUGUUAAAACUCUAAUUUUAUUAAUUUAAACAAGCUAAGUAAAAUCUUAAAUUAGACUUUAACUUAAAUUACUUUGUAAAAUUAAUCUUAUUUAUUUUCACUAAUUUAACACUAAUCAAUUUAAAACUAAAAGCUAAAAUGUAGACAUGACUAUUGUAUUUUUUUUUUUGUAAUUUUUGUUUAAUAAUACAAUUAAUUCAUGUAAUUACAUCCAAAAUGCAAUUAACAUCUAACAUGCUAUGUAAUGAAACAUUGAACAUUUUUGGUGUUUUUCUAUGAUUUUAAGAUAUUAAAUAUGCACGAAAAAUGAAACUAAUUGUAAACAAUUUAACAAAAAUUCCUAAAUUUUUUGUCAUGAUCCUAAACCCGGACCAGGUCGUGAUGACGCCUCUCGUGAAGACAAGGCCAGCCGACACAUUCCCAUUUCACUUUUAAGCAAUUAAGAUAAUAAAUAUUAAGUCUUAAACAUGAUAAAAUCUCAAAAUAAGCAGUAAACAGUACAGUUUGUGGAACUAAAAUCCAACACAGCUCGAUACCGGGGUAUCAUCAGUCAUGAGCAUCUAUCAAUUUAAUACAAGUCUAAAGAGUCUACAAAGAUACUACAGAGUUACUAAUAAGGGAAAGGAAAUGAAAUAAAGGGGGAGAAGCACGGGGCUGCGGACGCCAAACAACUACCUCGUGAACUCCGAAAUAUGCCAGGAGUUCUCAACUCUCGCAAGCAGGAUUAGCAACGCCUGAAUCUGCACACGAGAUGCAGGGAGUAAAGUGAGUACUCCAACUCAGUGAGUAAUAAUCAUAAAUAAAGGAUGAGAAGUAAGAAAUCACGUAAGGCACAACACAGACUAUAAGAAAGCAGUAAAAGCCAGUAAAAACAAUGAAGCAGUAAAGAUGUGUAAAGCCACUGAGUUCAGUUUAAACUUCAUAAAAUGCCUUUUGAAACAAUUAAGCAAGUAAAUGAUAGUCAAAUAGGAAAGAUAAACAAAUAAAGGAUCGCCCCUCGGGCACAAUGUCAACAAAACUGUCCCUCUGGCAAUAUCUCAGAAACAAUACCAGCCCCUCAGGCUAUAUCUCACAUCACAAUAGGUACCCACGCUCACUGGGGGUAUGCAAACUCUUGGAAGGGCCCCUUACGUCCCAAGUGCAAUAUCAAGCCAUCUCUGGCAUCAUCACUAGGCUCUCGACCUCAUAUCAACAAGCCACCUCGUGGCGUACAAAUCUCAAGCCCUUGGCCUCAUAAUCAUAAUCAGUAUUUCCUCACAAUAUAGGCCAUCGGCCUUACUAAGUUAGAAUCUCACAACCACUCGGGCAACGGUAAAAUAUGGUGCUCAGCCCAAAAUAUCAUUUAAAACAUCAUUUAAGUGUUAAAGUAGAGUAAACAUGGCUGAGUUAUGAAAAUAUUGGAAUAUAGCAUGACUGAGUUCAAGUAUAAAGUUAAAACAAUGAGGAAAUAUCAAUGAAAAUCCCAUAAGGGUUCAAAUAGUUGGCACGAGGCCUAAAUCUGGCAUUUAGCCCAAAACAUGAUGAUAACAAACAGUUUUCAGUCAAAUAUGCGGUAAAAUAGUCAUUCAGGACGGACUAAGUGACAAUCCCCAACAGUGCACGACCCCAUGCUCGUCAUCUAGCGUGUGUGUCACCUCAAUACAGCAUAACAAUGUGCAAUCCGGUGUUUCAUACCCUCGAGACAAUCUUUACAAUCAUUACUCACCUUAAUCCGGUCCAAACUCUAGCCUGCGACGCCUUUGCCCCUCGAAUUGGCCUCCACUCGCAUCAAAUCUAACCAAAUCAGAAUCACGACGUCAAAAUAUGCUAAGGGAAUGAAGCCCAAGCAAAAAUAAUCAAUUUACAACACAAAUCCCGAAAUUACCAAAACCCGACCCCCAGGCCCGCGUCUCGGAAUUUGAUAAAAUUCACAUCAAUGGAUUCCUUAUCACUCCCUGAGUUCAUUCAUACCGAAAGCAUCAAAAUCCAACCACAAACGACCCCUCAAAUCCCAAAUUCCAAGUCUCCAAUUUCAAGCCUUAGUUCUUCAAUUUUAAGCUUACAUUCCAUGAUUAAUUAGGUAGAAUUCAUAUUAGAAUCGAGUAUUAAGUCUAUGAAUCUUACCUCCAAGUGUUUCCCCUUGAAUCCCUCAUCAAUCCUCUUCAAAAAGCUCCAAAAUUUCUCAAAAUGGUGGAAAUAAACACCAAAAUCGCGGACAAGACGACUAUUUAAAUAUUCUGCCCAGGCAUCAAUUCCUUCUUCGCGAACGCGGUCAACGCCUCGCGUUCGCGAAGCACAAACCAACUUUGACCAAAAAAUCCUGUACGCGAAUGUGAUGGCUCCUCAGCUUGACCCUCCGCGAUCGCGCUACCUCUCUCGCGAACACAAUGAAUAAAACACCUUGAACCCAGCUUCCCAAUUUCCUCUACACGAACGCGGAGCCUCCCUCGCGAACGCGAUGCACAAUAAUCCAACCCUUGCGAACGCGGAGCCUUCCUCACGAACGUGAAGGCUAAAAUCUCAGACUCCUCAACUAACCCUUCGCGAUCGCGGCUCCCCUCUCGCGAAUGCGAAGGUCAUUUGUCUGCAACACUGAGCAGCAGGUUUCUGCACUUCUCAACAACAAGAAAUGGUCCGAUUGACCACCUGAAACUCACCCGAGGCCCUAGGGACCUUAACCAAAUAUGCCAACAUAUCCCAUAACAUCAUUCAAACUUGUUCCAACCUUCGAAACGCUCAAAACAACAUCAAAACACCAAAUUCGCAUCAGAUUCAAACCUAAGAAUUCCAAAAAUCUUCUAAAUUAUGCUUUUGAUAAAAAACCUAACCAAACCACGUCCGAAUGACAUGAAAUUUUUCACACACAUCCCAAAUGACACAACAGAACUACUACAACUCUCGGAAUUCCAUUACGACCCCUAUAUCAAAAUCUCACCUAUCAACCGGAAAUCGCCAAAAAUCCAAUUUCGCCAAUUCAAGCCUAAAUCUACUCCGAACCUCCAAAACUCAUUCCUAUCACGCUCCUAAGUCCCAAAUCACCUCCUGAAGCUAUUUGAACCAUCGGAACUCACAUAAAAUCCAUCUAACACAUAAGUCAAUAUCCGGUUGACUUUUCCAACUUAAGCUUCCUCAAAAGAGACUAAGUGUCUCAAACCUUAUCAAAUCCUUUCCGAACCCGAACCAACCAAUCCGAUCACAUAUAGAACCGAUAAACAAGGCAAUAAGAAGCAGAAAUGGGGGAAACGGAGCGGCAACUCAUGAGAUGACUGGCUGGGUCAUCACAUCCUCCCCCUCUUAAACAAACGUUCGUCCUCGAACGAGUCAAGAAACAUACCUGAAGCCUCAAACAGGUGAGGAUAUCUACUCUGCAUCUCCCGUUUGGUCUAACAGUUAGCCUCAUCCAUGGGCCGACCUCUCCACUACACUUUCACUGAAGCUAUAUCCUUUGAUCUCAACUUCCGAACCUGAUGACCCAAAAUGGCUACUGGCUCCACAUCAUAGGUCAAAUCAUCAUCUAACUGAACCGUGAUGAAAUCUAGAACAUGAGACAGAUCCCCAAUAUACUUCCGGAGCAUAGAAACAUGAAAUACCGGAUGCACACUUCACAAGCUGGGUGGCAAAGCAAGCUCAUAGGCCACCUCCCCAAUCCUCCAAAGCACCUUAAAAUGCCCAAUGAACCGAGGACUCAAUACCCUUCUUCCCAAAUCUCAUAACACCCUUCAUGGGUGAAACCUUCAACAGAAUUUUCUCACCAGCCAUGUAGGACACAUCUCAAACCUUCCUAUCAGCAUAACUCUUUUGCCUCGACUGUGCUGUACAAAGCCUCUCCUGAAUCACCUUUACUUUUUCUAAAGUAUUUUCACCAAAUCUGUCCCCAGUAGCCUAGCCCCACCUAGCUCAAACCAACCAACUGGAGAUCUACACAGCCUCCCAUACAAAGCCUCAUAUGGAGCCAUCUAAAUACUCGACUGGUAGCUGUUGUUAUAAGCAAACUCUGCAAGUGGUAGAAACUGAUCCCAUGACCCUCCGAAAUCAAUGACACAAGCACAUAACAUGUCCUCCAAUAUCUGAAUAAUGCGCUCGGACUGCCCGUCCGUCUGAGGGUGAAAAGCUGUGCUCAACUCAACCUGAGUACCCAACUCUCGCUGCACAGACCUCCAAAACUGCAAAGUACACUCAAUGCCCCUAUCUAAGAUGAUGGAAGCUGAGACACCAUGCAAAUGAACAAUCUCCCAGAUAUAGAUCUCUGCCAACCGCUCUAAAGAAUAAGUAGUACACACAGGAAUGAAGUGCGCGGACUUGGUCAGCCAAUCCACAAUCACCCAAACAACAUCGAACUUUUUCAAAGUCCGUGGAAGUCCAACUACAAAGUCCAUAGUGAUCUGCUCCCACUUCCACUUUGGAAUAUCCAUACGCUAAAGCAAGCCACCCGGUCUCUGAUGCUCAUAUUUCACUACUGACAAUUGAGACACCGAGCUACAAAUCCCAUAAUGUCUUUCUUCAUUUUCCUCCACCAAUAAUGCUGCCUCAAAUCCUGAUACAUCUUUGCGGCACCUGGAUGAAUGGAAUACCACGAGCUAUGGGCCUCCUCCAGAAUCAACUCCCGAAGCCCAUCUAAUUUGGGCACACAGAUCCGGCCCUGCAUCCUCAACACCCCAUCAUCACCAAUGGUCACAUCUCUGGCAUCAUCAUGCUGAACUCUAUCCUUAAGGACAAGCAAAUGCGGAUCAUUAUACUGGCAUUCUCUGAUGCGAUCAUAUAAGGAAGACCGAGAAACCACACAAGCCUAUACCCGGCUGAGCUCCAAAAUAUCUAACCUCACGAACCGAUUGGUCAGGGCCUGGACAUCAACUACAAGAGGUCUCUCCCCAACUGGAAUAUAUGCCAAACUCCCCAUACUCACCGCCUUUCGGCUCAAAGCAUCGGCCACCAUAUUGUCCUUUCCCAGAUAAUACAAUAUAGUGAUAUCAUAAUACUUUAGCAGCUCCAACCACCUCCGCUACCUCAAAUUAAGAUCCUUUUGCUUGAACAAGUGCUGGAGGCUACGAUGAUCAGUAAACACCUCACGAGACACACCAUACAAGUAGUGCCUCCAAAUCUUCACCGCGUGAACUAUGACAACCAACUCUAAAUCAUGAACGGGGUAGUUCUUCUUAUGGGGCUUCAACUGAUGAGAAGCAUAACUAAUAACUCUACCCUCCUGCAUCAGUACACAACUAAUACCAACUCUCGAAGCAUCACAAUACACAGUAUAUGAACCUGAAGGUGAUAGCAAAACUAACACUGGAGCUGUGGUCAAGACUGUCUUAAGCUUCUAAAAGCUCUCCUCACACUUAUCCGACCACACAAAUGAAGCACCCUUCUGAGUCAACUUGGUCAAGGUCAAUGCGAUAGACGAUAAUAGCCUGUCAAAUCAAGAAAUCUGCAAAUCUCUGUGGCUGAGGACGGUCUAGGCCAAUUCUGAACCGCCUCUAUCUUCUUCGGAUCAACUUGAAUACCCUCGCUGGAUACCACGUGCCCUAAGAAAGCCACUGAACUGAGCCAAAACUCACACUUGGAGAAUUUUGCAUAAAGCUUCUCCUCCCUCAAUCUCUGCAACACAACUCUUAAAUGUUCUGCAUGCUCCUCCUAACUACGCGAAUACACCAGAAUAUCAUCAAUGAAGACUAUGAAAAACGAGUCGAGAUAAGACCGGAACACGCUGUUCAUCAGAUGCAUGAACACUGCUGGGGCAUUAGUCAGCCCAAAAGACAUCACCAAAAACUCAUAAUGACCAUAUCGGGUCGUAAAAGCCGUCUUAAGAAUAUCCGAGUCGCUGAUCUUCAACUGGUGGUAACCUAAACGGAGAUCAAUCUUGGAGAACACUCUCGCUCCCUGAAGCUUGUUGAAUAAAUCAUCAAUGCGAGGCAAAUAAUACUUGUUAUUAACUGUUACUUUGUUCAAUCGCCUAUAAUCAAUGCACAUACUCAUAGUGCCAUCCUUCUUCUUCACAAAUAAAACCGGCACACUCCAAGGUGACACACUAGGCCGAAUGAACCCCUUAUCAAGGAGUUCAUGAAACUGAUCCUUUAACUCCUUCAACUCCGCUGGUGCCAUACGAUACGGCGGAAUAGAAAUAUGCUGAGUGCCCAGCACCAAGUCAAUACCAAAAUCAAUAUCCCUGUCCGGUGGCAUGCCCGACAGGUCUGCAAGGAACACAUCGGGAAAAUCCUUCACAAUUGGAAGAGAAUCAAUACUGGGAGUCUCUACACUGACAUCCUUCACAAAGGCUAGAUACGAAAGACAACCCUUCCUAACCAUACAUUGGACCUUCAAGAAUGAGAUCACUCUACUAGGAACAUAAUUAGUCACAUGUCACCACUUAAUUCGUGGCACACCUAGUAUAGCCAAUAUAACUGUCUUAGCAUGGCAGUCCCGAAUAGCACGACACAGAGAUAGCCAAUCCGUGCCCAAAAUGACAUCAAAAUCCACCAUACACAAUAAUAAAAGAUCUACUCAGGUCUCCAAACACUCAAUAGUCACCACACACGAUCGGUACACGCGGUCUAUAACAACAGUAUCGCCCACCGGGGUAGAUACAUAAACAGGUAAAGCAAAAGACUCAUAGGGCAUACCUAAAUAACGAGCAAAGUAUGAUGACACAUAAGAAAAGGUGGAACCAGGAUAAAAUAAUACAAAAGCAUCUCUGUGGCAGACUAAAACAAUACCUGUAAUAACAACAUCGAAAGCAAUAACAUCAGGUCUAGCGGAAGUGCAUAGAAAUGGGCCUGACCGCCACCUGAUCGACCUCCCCCUCUAGGGCGACCCCUAGUUGACUGACCUCCACCCCUAGCUGGCUGGGCGGGUAGUGGUGAAGUAACAGGCGCUGAAGCCGAUGGCUGACCCCUCUGCUGAGAUAAACCCGCAAGACGACGAGGACACUGCCUCCACAUAUGACCCAUCUCUCCACACUCAUAACAACUCCUAGGUGUUGGAGAAGGGGACUAAAGGGAACCNNNNNNNNNNNNNNNNNNNNNNNNNNNNNNNNNNNNCCACGAUAACCUAGGCAAGCUGGCUGAGCAAGCCUGAAUGGAUGACCUCUGUUGUACUGAAACUGACCUCUCGAAGGAGCACCACUAUAAUUACCAGAUCCUCGAGGCCUCUUGGCCUCCCUCUCCUAGUGACGUAUAGACUCAAUCUCACGAGCAAUGUCUACAACCUCCUCAAAGGUAGCACCAGUCACCCUCUCACUGGUCAUGAGAAUAUAAAGCUGAUAAGUGAGGCCAUCAACAAACCUCCUAAUCCUCUCUCUAUCUAUUGGAACUACCCAAAUCGCAUGACGAGCUAACUUGGAGAACCUCAUCUCAUACUGCGUCGCAGUCAUCUCUCUCUAACGCAACCACUCAAACUGCCUGAGCAGCUCCUCUCUGCGAGUUUACGGUAUAUACUUCUCCAGAAAGAGAACGGAGAACUGCUGCCAGGUAACGGGUGCUGCACCAAUAGGCUUACGCCUCUUAAAAGCCUUCCACCAAGUGAAGGCAACUCUAGAAAACUGCUAAGUAGUGAAAGCGGCCCCGCUGGUCUCCAGAAUACUCGUUGUACGAAUCAUCCUUUGACAUUUUCCAAGAAACCCUGGGCAUCCUCACCCUAUGCACUGCUGAAGGUCGGAGGCUGAAGUCUACCAAAACCUCUCCAACCUACGCUGCUUGUCCUCUGGCAUGGCAGGAACUACAUAGUCCUAAGCAGCUGCAACCGGCUGGGCUGGAUGCGCCCCCGGGGUAUGAAGUCCCUGCACGACCUGCUCAGGUGUGCGAGCGGCGGGCAUCUGAAUGCCUCCCCCGGCCUGAGAAGUAGCUGCGGAUGUAGUAGUGGAGACCGCCUGAGCUAGGCCAGUGCAAACUGAUAGAAUCUGAGCCAAGGCCUCCUGAAGACCCUGAAUCACAAUAGGAACAACUAGUGACUGAGAUGGUGCUGCUGGAGCGACCACAACUGGGACCUGAUCCUGAACUGGGGCGGCUGGUGGAUGUGCAGGUGCUGCUCUAGCUACUGUACGGGCUACACCUCUGCCCCUACCGCGACCACGACCGCGUCCUCAGCCUAUAGUGGCCACAGCUGGUGGUACGGGUGGUCGUCCAUCCGGACUAGUAGCGAGUGUCCUCACCAUCUGUGAGAAAAUAGAAUAACAGAGUUUCGUACUCUGAUCAACAAAUUCGCACGACAAAAAUUUCAAGAAUAUGAAGUUAUUCCUAAAGGUUUUGCAGCCUCUCGAGGAUAAAUACAAACGUUUCCUUACCAAUCUACGAGACUCUACUAAACCUACUCAUAACUCGUGAGACCUAUGUAACCUAGGCUCUGAUACCAACUUGUCACGACCCUAAACCUGGACCUGGUCGUGAUGGCGCCUCUCGUGAAGACAAGGCCAGCCGACACAUUCCCAUUUCACUUUUAAGAAAUUAAGAUAAUAAAUAUUAAGUUUUAAACAUGAUAAAAACUCAAAAUUAGCAAUAAACAGUACAGUUAGUGGAACUAAAACCCAACACAGCCCAAUAUCGAGUAUCACCAGUGAUGAGCAUCUAUCAAUUUAAUACAAGUCUGAAGAGUCUACAAAGCUACUACAGAGUCACUAAUAAAGGAAAGGAAAUGAGAUAAAGGGGGAGAAGCACGGGGCUGGGGACGCCGAACAGCUACCUCGUGAACUCCGAAAUCUGUCAGGAGCUCUCAACCCUCGCAAGCAGGAUCAGCAUCGCCUGAAUCUGCACACAGGGUGUAGGGAGUAAAGUGAGUACUCCAAAUCAGUGAGUAAUAAUCAUAAAUAAAGGUUGAGAAGUAAGAAAUUACGUAGGGCACAACAUAGGCUAUAAGGAAGCAGUAAAAGCCAGUAAAAACAAUGAAGCAGUAAAGAUGUGUAAAGCCACUGAGUUCAGUUUAAACUUCAUAAAAUGCCUUUUUAAAUAAUUAAGCAAGUAAAUGAUAGGCAAAUAAAAACAUAAAGGAUCGCCCUUUGGGCAUAAUGCCAACAAACCGCCCCUCGGGAAAUAUCUCAGAAACAAUACCAGCCCUCGGGUUAUAUCUCACAUCACAAUGGGUACCCAUGCUCACUGGGGGUGUGCAGACUCCUGGAGGGGCCCCUUACUGCCCAAGCGCAAUAUCAAGCCAUCUCGUGGCAUCAUCACUAGGCUCUCGGUCUCAUAUCAACAACCUACCUCGUGGCGUACAAAUCUCACCCCCGACCUCAUAAUCACAAUUAGUGUUUCCUCACAACAUAGGGCCUUAGCCUUACUCAGUUAGAAUCUCACAGCCACUCGGGCAACAGUAAACGUGGUGCUCAGCCCAAAAUAUCAUUUAAGGGUUAAAGCAGAGUAAACAUGACUGAGUUAUGAAAACAGUGGAAUAUAGCAUGAUUGAGUUGAAGUAUAAAGUCAAAACAGUGAGGAAAUAUCAAUAAAAAUCCCCUAAGGGUUCAAAUAGUUGGCACGAGGCCCAAAUAUGGCAUUCAACCCAAAAAAUGAUGAUAACAAACAAUUUUCAGUCAAAUACGCGGUAAAAUAGUCAUUCGGGAUGGAUUAAGUCAUAAUCCCCAAUAGUGCAUGACCCCACACUCGUCAUCUAGUGUGUGCGUCACCUUAAUAUAGCACAACGAUAUGCAAUCCGAGGUUUCAUACCCUCAGGACAAUCUUUACAUUCAUUACUCACCUCAAUCCGGUCCAAACUCUAGCCCGAGAUGCCUUUGCCCCAUCGGCCUCCACUAGCAUCGAAUCUAACCAAAAUCAGAAUCACAACGAUAAAAUAUGCUAAGGGAAUAAAGCUCAAAUGAAUAUAAUCAAUUUACAACAUAAAUCCAGAAAUUACCAAAACCCGACCCCAGGCCCACGUCUCAGAAUUCCAUAAAAUUCACAUCAAUGGAUUCCUUAUCACUCCCCGAGUUUACUCAUACCAAAAGCAUCAAAAUCCAACCACAAACGACCCAUCAAAUCCCAAAUUCUAGGUCUCUAAUUUCAAGCCCUAUUUCUUCAAUUUUAGGCUUACAUUCCAUGAUUAAUUAGGUAGAAUUCACAUUAGAAUCGAGUAUUAAGUUCAUGAAUCUUACCUCCAAGUGUUUCCCCUUGAAUCCUUCUUCAACCCUCUUCAAAAAGCUCCACAAUCGCUCAAAAAUGGUGGAAAUAAAACCCAAAAUCGCGGACAAGACGACUAUUUAAACAUUCUGCCCAUGCAUCAAUUCCUUCUUCGCGAACGCAGUCAACGCCUCGCGUUCGCGAAGAAAAAACCAACUUUGACCAAAAAAUCCUCUACGUGAACGCGACAAGCCACUCGUGAAUGCGAUGGCUCCUCAGCUUGAACCUUCGCGAUCACACUACCUCUCUCGCGAACGCGAUGAACAAACACCUUGAACCCAGCUGCCCAAUUUCCUCUACGCGAACGAUGAACCUCCCUCGCGAACGCGAUGCAUAAUAAUCCAACCCUUCGGGAUCACGGAGCCUUCAUCGCGAACGCGAAGGCUAAAAUCUCAGCCCUCUCAACUAACCCUUCACGAUUGCGGCUCCCCUCUCGGGAACGCGAAUGUCAUUUGUCUGCAACACUGAGCAACAAUUUUCUGCACUUCUCAGCAACAAGAAAUGGUUCGAUUGACCACCCGAAACUCACCGAGGCCCCCGAGAGCUCAACGAAACAUGCCAACAUAUCCCAUAACAUCAUUAAAACUUGUUCCAACAUUUGAAAUGCUCAAAACAACAUCAAAACACCAAAUUCACAUCGGAUUCAAGCCUAAUAAUUCCAAAAUAUUCUAAAUUAUGCUUUUGAUAAAAAACCCAACCAAACCGCGUCUGAAUGACCUGAAAUUUUGCACACACAUCCCAAAUGACACAAAGGAAGUACUUCAACUCUAGGAAUUCCAUUCCUACACCUAUAUCAAAAUCUCACCUAUCAACCAGAAAUUACCAAAAAUCCAAUUUUACCAAUUCAAGCCUAAAUCUACUCCGGACCUCAAAAACUCAUUCCGAUCAUGCUCCUAGGUCCCAAAUAACCUCCCGAAGCUAUCCGAACCAUCGGAACUCAUAUCCGAGCCCUCUAACACAUAAGUCAACACCCGGUUGACUUUUCCAACUUAAGCUUUCUCAAAAGAGACUAAGUGUCUCAAACCUUACCAAAUCCUUUCCGAACCAACCAACCGGUCACAUAUAGAGUCGAUAGACAAGGCAAUAAGAAGCAGAAAUGGGAAAAACAGAGCGGCAACUCAUGAGAUGAUUGGCUGGGUCGUCACAAUUUUAUAAAAUUAAAAACAAUUAGGAAAAAAUCUAUUUGUUGAUUUUUGUGGGAGUAUUUUCAUCGGGCAAAAUUUACGUGCUAACAGCUGCCUAUCUUUGCUCGAAAAUAUGAAGAGUUUUUGGGCAAAGAUAAAGUGAGCAAUUAUGAGUAAUUUUUGCCCGUUGGACACUCCAUGAGAAGUAUUUUGAAAAAGUUUGACCGAACUUUGCUUCGGAGGUUGCCUACAUAUCCUUGGCUAUAAAGGUACCAGGUUAGUGUAUUUCUAGAAGUUUUGUUAGCUGGGACUACCGAAAAAUCUGUGAUUUCACUGCUGUUGCUGCUGUUACUACUUGCUAUUUGCCGAUCUCCUUAUUACACCAAUAUCAAAAAUGAAAAGAAACUAAACAAGCAUAUCAGCUAUGAGUUACAAGAUUACUAUCUAUAAUUCUUCUGAAGUUUGAUCUUGAAUCUUGGCUGGUUCUUUACAUAGACUCUGAUCUGAAUCUUGAUGUUUGUUAGCUGCAGGUGCUAGCUCAUUCUUCUAAAGCUUUUUCUGAUCACAACGGGAAGUGCAAUGCUCGUGACUUCAGUCAUGUCUUGAGCAGUCCAUAUCCAUUUUUCUGCCUCUGGAUUUUGGAUUCUCUCCUUUUCCUUUCUUUUAUUUAUUUUGGAUUGAUAUGUCUUCUUUUUGUCAUCUCGAACCCAUUUCCUCAAGGUAAAAACCUGCUCAGACACCAAAACAAACAAAAUUUUUUCUAUCUCGAUUUUCACUAGGAAAAACUUUGUGAGUUAUUUGUAACAAAAACUCUAUACUAUUUUAUUAUUGAAAGCAAAUAAAAGGUUGGGAUUGGUGUACCCUAAGAAAAAAGAAACUAGGGAGUGGAGACCCUAUGUCUAAAAUAAAAGCAACUAGGGAGUGAAGACCCUAUGUUAGAAAAACGACUAGGGAGUGGAGACCCAAUAUCUAAAAAUAAAAAUCAACUAGGGAGUGUAGACCCUAUGUUGGAAAAGUGAAUAGGGAGUGGAGAUCCUGUGUCUAAAACAAAAUCAACUAGGGAGUGAAGACCCUAUAUUGGAAAAGUAGGCUAGGGAGUGGAGACAGUAUGUCCUAAAAAGAUCAACUAGGUAGUGGAGACCCUAUGUUGGAAAAGUGACUAGGGAGCGGAGGCCAUAUGUUGGAAAAACGACUAGGGAGCAGAGACUCUAUGUCUAAAAUAAAAUCAACUAGGGAGUGGAGACCCUAUGUUUGAAAAGCAGACUAGGGAGUGGAGACCUUAUGUCUAAAAAUAACUUCAACUAGAGAGUGGAGACCCUAUGUUGGAAAAGCGACUAGAGAGUGGAGAACCUAUGUCUAAAAAUAACUUCAACUAGGGAGUGUAGACCCUAUGUUAAAAAAGCGACUAGAGAGUGGAGACCUUAUGUCAAAAUAAAAUCAACUAGGGAUUUGAGACCCUAUGUUGGAAAAGAUACUAGAGAGUGGAGACUCUAUGUCUAAGAUAAACAUCAAGUAGGGAGUGUAGACCCUAUGUUGGAAAGACGACUAGGGAGUGGAGACCCUAUUUCGGAAGAGCGACUAGGGAGUGGAUACCCUAUGUCUAAAAUAAAAUUAACUAGGGAGUGGAGACCCUAUGUUGGAAAAGUAGACUGGAGAGUGGAGACCCUAUGUCUAAAAAUAACUUUAACUAGGGAGUGGAGACCCUAUGUUGGAAAAUGCAGCUAGGGAUUGGAUACCUUAUACUACCAUAAUUUGGAAUUCUCUUUCUUUUCCCUUUUUAAUAAGAAUGAGUAAAAUGCAGGAAAAAAUUGGAAGAAGACUUCCCUUUUUGGAGGGGUUGUUGUGGCCGAGCUAUUUUAGUCUCCGCGCGGUUUCCUUUAGUUGCACCUGCUUCUUGCAAGGUUGCUUUGGAUUGCACCUGCUUCUUGCAAGGUUGAUUUGGAUUGCACCCGUUUGCUUUUUUUUAAAACUGUAAUGACUCGGUCGUUCGUUUCAAGAGUUGUAGCCCCGUUCCCCUAUUUUCUGCUUUUUUGUGUUCUAUAGCUGUAUUGUGACUUACCGGGUUAGCUGGUUCGGGCCCUGAGUGAUUUCAAAAUAAAUUGAGAUACUUAGUCUCUUAUUUGAAAGCUUAAGUUGAAAAAGUUGACCGGAUGUUAACUUAUAUGUAAACGACAUCGGAUUUAAAUUUCGAUAAUUCCAUUAGCUCCGCUAGGUGAUUUUGGACUUGGGAGCGCAUCUAGAUUACUUUUUUGGAGGUCUGUAGAAGAAUUAGGCUUGAAAUGUCGAAAGUUGGAAAUUUUAAAAGUUUGACCGGAGUGGACUUUUUGAUAUCAAGGUCGGAUUGGAUAUCCGAAAGUUGUACUAGGUUCGUGGUAUCAUUUACGACUUGUGUGCAAAAUUUGAGGUCAAUCGGACUAUAGGUUUUGACAUUGUUUGUAGAAUUCAAAAAUUUCAAAGUUCAUUAGGCUUGAAUUCAUGUGUAAUUCGUGUUUUUGAUGUUGUUGGUGAUUUGAAGAUUCAACUAAGUUCUUAUGAUGUAAUGGGUCGUGUUGGCUUGUUUGUUUGAGGCCCCGAGGGCCUCGGGUGAAUUUUGUGUGGUUAAUGGAUCAUUUUGGCCUUGGUGAGAUUGCUGAUAUCUGCUGCUGCAUUUUUCUGGUUUCCUCUUACGCGUUCGCGAGAGGGGCCUCGCGUUCGCGAAGAGUGUUUCUGAGAUGAUGAGGAUUUUGUUCUUCGUGUUCGUGAAGGAGAGGAUGCGAACGCAAAUGUGUGGUCUGCGUAUGCAUCACAAACAUGGGAUCAGGGUCGCGUUCGUGAAGAGGUGAGGCAGUUGGGGACCCCAGGUCCUUGUUCUACGCGUUCACGAGGUAAUGGUCGCGUUUGCGAAGGUUUGAGCUAGUAAAGCAUCAGGUUUGCAAGGCAUGUGUCGCGUUCGCGAAGAGUAAAGCAGAGAAGGGGUCAAGUUGGUCUACGCGAACACGAGAUGACGGUCGCGUUCGCGCAUAAGGAAAUCUGGGCAGACAAUGUUAAAUUAAAAAUCGAUGUUUUGAGUCUAUUUUUCAUAUUUUGAGCUAAAGAUCACAAAUUUGGGCGAUUCCUGAAGGGAUUUUUGAGGAGUUGAUUGGGGUAAGUGUUUCUUGCUUGGUUUUGGUUAAAUACCAUGAUUAUAUCUUUGAUUUUAUCAUCUAAUUUGUGAUUUGGGAUGUAAAAUUGGGGAAGAAGAUGAAGUGUUCUUGAGUUAGAAUUUUGGGGUUUUGAAAGGGAUUUUGUUAUCGACUUUGAGUAAAUUUGGUAUGGUUAGACUCGUGAGUGAAUGGGCUUUCGAGUUUUAUAACUUUUGUCGAAUUUCGAGACGUGGGCCUGGGGGCUAGGUUUGAGCCGAUUUCGGAUUUUUGGCUAUAAUUUGGUACUUUUCUUGUGGUAUUGAUUCCUUUAGCCUAUAUUGAUUGUAUUGUGUUGCUUGUGGAUAGAUUCAGGGUGUUUGGAGGCCGAUUUGAGAGGCAAAGACAUUGCGGAGUAGGUUUUUGCUCGGUUUGAGGUAAGUAACACUUUCAAACUUAGUUCUGAGGGUUCAAAACAUUGAAUUAUGUAUUAUGUGAUUGGUAUUGAGGUGACGCACAUGCAAAGUGACGGGCGUGCAGACGUGCACCGUGAGAAUUGUGGCCUGGGUGAUUCCAUGGCACCAUAUAAUGACUCUAUCCUGUUGAUAUCCAUAGUUUAAUCAUGUGAUAAAGUAAUUGAGCUGUCAAUCAUACUAGAUAUCAUGUUUAGGCUUUAUGCCAGUACUGUUGAGGCCCUAGUGGUCGUUUCUUGAUGUCAUCUUACUAAUUUCAUUAACAUUCUAUAGUCUGUCGUAUUCAUGCAUUUUAUAUCAUAUCUUAGUCUCAGUUAUUCAUUGUUACUCCAUAUCAUUGUUACGGGUUAGUUUCAUGACAUUGUGAGCCCUUGAGUGUGACUGGAGAGAUUUAUGACUGAGUGAGGCUGAGAGCCUGAUUAUGAGUGACAAUUAAGGAUUGGGCUACACGCUGCAACGGUAAAUUGAUUUAUGAUAGCGCUUGGGAUGUAGGAGCCCCUCUGGAGUCUGUAACACACCCAUAGUAAGCGCAAUGGAUACAAUUGAGGGAUGGAUUUCCUUGGAUAUGGAUUUGUCCGAAGUACUUAAUACCAGGAGAUGGAUUUCUCCACAGGGUUGGAUUGCCCUUUUUCCUCGGAACUGGGUGACUUAUAGUCAGUGUUGUAUAUGUUCCAGGAUGGAUUUCCUUGGGAUGGAUGGACAUAUAUAUUACCGAGUGGUUGAACACUUGAGAGUGGGAGCACAUGGUGCAUUUCAUAUGCCACGUGCAUUGGCAUGUAGAGAUAGUUGAGUUAUAUAAUUUACAUUGUUCAAAUAUGUAUUUACCUUAUUGCCUCGAUCUGUCUAUUUAACUUGAAAGCAUGCCUACGUUUCUAUACAUUCAAUUCUAUUAUAUCUGUUGCGCUUGAGUUCAUUACUACCUUUCAGUCCAAUGUUUAGACUCGUUACUUACUGAGUUAGCGUACUCACGUUACUUCCUGCACCUCGUCUACUGAUCCAGGUGAUACCGGUCGCAGCGACGGUUGCUAAUUGAGUUUUUUUAGAGUUUGGAGACUAUUGAGGUAGAUGCACAGUGUUCGCAGGCCUUGACUCUCCUUCUUUAUCAUUGUUGAAUUUCAUUUUAUUUCUCUAGACACUUUAUUGGACUGUAUUCUGGUUUAGACACUCAUGUACUCAGUGACACCCCGAUUUUGGGCUGAAUUGUAUCAUAAUUUGGGAUUUCUUAUGUUUUCAAAUAGUUUUCUUUAAAUGUUAAAUGCUUCUGUUUAUAUUUUCAAACUUAUUGUUGUGUGAUGGGUUGUUAAGUUGAGGCUGACCUAGUUCCACGAUUAGGCGCCAUCAUGACGGUAGAUUUUGGGUUGUGACAAGUUGGUAUCAGAGCCUAGGUUACAUAGGUCUCACGAGUCAUGAGCGGGUUUAGUAGAGUCUUGCGGAUCAGUACAGAGACGUCUGUACUUAUCUUCGAAAGGCUGUAUAACCCUUAGGAAAACUUCACAUUCUUGAAUUCUUGUCGUGUGAAUCUAUUUAUUCUAGUAACUAAACUUCUAUUAUUUUGUUCUCUCACAUAUGGCGAGGACAUGUGCUACCAGGAAGGACGGGCAACCACUAGUUGGGGCCGCGAUAGGCCGAGGUUGCAGUAGAGGCCGUGGUAGGGGCAGAGGUGCAUCCCGCACAAUAGCUAGGGCGGCAUCUGUAGAUCUACCAGUUUCCCUAGUUCAGGGUCAGGUCCUAGUUGUGGAUGUGCCGGUGGGACUAGCUCAGGCACCAAUCAUGCCUAUUGUGAUUCCAGGCCUUCAAGAGGCCUUAGCUCUGAUUUUGAUAGUAUGCACUAGUCUUGCUCAGGCGGUCUCUGUUUCGGCCGCAACAGCCACUUCUCAGGCCAGGAGAGGUGCUCAGACUCCCACCGCCCGUACACCUGAGCAGGUGGUACAGGGACUCCAGACACCGGGGGCACCACCAGCCCAGCCGGUUGCACCUGCUCAGGAAUAUAUAGUUCCUGUCAUGCCUGAUAAUGAGCAACAUAGAUUGGAGAGGUUUGGUAGACUUCAGCGUCUGACUUUCAGUGAUGUAGAGGGCGAGGAUGCCAAGGGUUUCUUGGAUACAUGUCAGGGGAUUCUUCGUACAACAGGUAUUCUGGAGACCAGCGGGGUCUCGUUUACUGCUUUUCAGUUCUCUAGAGCUGCCUUCACUUGGUGGGAGGCUUAUGAUAGGCGUAGGCCAGUUGGUGCAGAGCCCCUUACAUGGCAGCAAUUCUCCGUUCUUUUCCUGGAGAAGUAUGUGCCGUAGUCCCACAGAGAGGAGCUGCACAAACAGUUUGAGCAGUUGCAUCAGGAUGAUAUGACUGUGAUGUAGUACGAGAUGAGAUUUUCUGAGUUAGCCCGUCAUGUUGUUUGGUUGGUUCCCAUGGAUAGGGAGAGGAUCAAGAGGUUUGUUGAUGGCCUCGCAUAUCAGAUACAGAUACUUAUGACUAGAGAGAGGGUGUCUGGUGCUACUUUUGAGGAGGUUGUUGACAUUUCUUGGGAGAUAAAGUCUGUUCUCCGCCAGGAGCAGGUUGAGGGGGAGUCCAAGAGACCUCAUUGAUCAGGUAGUUUUGGUGGUGUUCGUUUUGGAGGUCAGUUUCACCAUGCCAGGGGUCGUCCUUGCAGACACGCUCAGACGGCUCACCCAGUUCACCGUGGUGCAUCAUCUGGCCAUGGUUCUCAUAGUUCUCAUCAGGGCCACUCAUCUCUUAGUGCCCUUCUAGCUCAGAGUUCAACUCAUGCACCAUCAGCUUAGGGUUUAUCUAUGUCUGGUCCUUCUAGCGGGUAUCCCGAUGCUCGGGCUCCCUUCAGUCCCCACCGCCAAUGACCGGUAGAGGUUGCUUUGACUGUGGAGAUUUGGGUCAUAUCAAGAGGUACUAUCCCCACCUUACGGGAGGUUCAUCUCAGUAGAGGAGUCAGCCUUCGACUUCAGCACCGGUUACUUCACCACCCGCACAGCCAACUCGAGGUGGAGCCUAGUCAGCUAGGGGCUGCCCUAGAGGGGGACGGUGAUCAGGUCGCGGUCAGGCCCGUUUCUAUGCACUCUUUGCCAGACCAGAUGCUAUUGCUUCAGACGCAGUAAUCAUAGAUAUUGUCUUAGUAUGUCACCAAGAUGCUUCCUUAUUAUUUGACCCCGGUUCCACCUAUUCAUAUGUAUUAUCGUAUUUUGCUCAUUAUCUAGAUAUGCCCCGUGAGUCUUUAGUUUCAUAUGUUCAUGUAUCUAUUUUGGUGGGUGAUACUAUUAUUGUAGACCGCGUGUACUAGUCGUGUGUAGUGACUAUCGGGGGAUUGGAGACUAGAGUUGAUCUUCUACUACUUAGUAUGUUGAUUUUGGUAUGAUAUUGGGUAUGGAUUGGCUGUCUCGCUACCAUGCUAUUUUAGUUUGCCACGCUAAGACUGUAACGUUGGCGAUGCCGGGGUUGCCUCAGAUCGAGUGGAGAGGUUCUUUAGAUUAUGUUUCCCGUAGGGUGAUUUCGUACUUAAAGGCCCAACGAAUGGUUGGGAAGGGUUAUCUUUCUUAUUUGGCAUUUGUGAGAGAUGUUAGUGCAGAUACCCCUACUAUUGAUUCUAUUCCGGUGGUGCGAGAUUUUCCGGAUGUGUUUCCUGCAGACCUGCUGGGCAUGCCUCCAUAUUGACUUUGGUAUUGAUUUGGUGCCGGGCACUUAGCCCAUUUCUAUUCCACCGUACCGUAUGGCACUGGCUGAGUUGAAGGAGUUGAAAGUGCAGCUUCAAGAACUCCUUAAGAAGGGGUUUAUUAGGCUUAGUGUGUCACCUUGGGGUGCACCAGUUCUAUUUGUGAAGAAAAAAGAUGGCAUCAUGAGGAUGUGCAUUGAUUACAAGCAAUUAAACAAAGUCACAAUCAAGAACAAGUAUCAUUUGCCUCGCAUUGAUGAUCUAUUUGACCACCUUCAGGGAGCGAGGGUGUUCUCCAAGAUUGAUUUGAGGUUAGGGUAUCACCAGCUAAAGAUUCGGGAUUCGGAUAUUCUUAAGACAGCUUUCAGGACCCGUUAUGGUCAUUAUGAGCUCCUUGUGAUGUCUUUUAAGCUAACCAAUGCUCCAGUAGUGUUUAUGCAUCUGAUGAACAACGUAUUUCAGCCAUAUCUCGACUCAUUUAUAUUGUAUUCGUUGAUGAUAUCCUAGUGUACUCUCGUAGCCAGGAGGAGCAUGCCCAAUAUUUGCGAAUUAUGUUGUAGCGGUUGAGGGAGGAGAAACUUUAUGCUGAGUUCUUCAAGUGUAAGUUUUGCCUCAGUUCAGUGGAAUUUUUGGGCUGCUUGGUGUCCAGUGAGGGUAUUCAGGUUGACUCGAAGAAGAUAGAGUCGGUUUAGAGUUGGCCUAGACCGUCCUCAGCUACAAAGAUUUGGAGAUUUCUUGGUUUGGCUGGAUAUUACCGUCGGUUCGUGCAGGGUUUAUAUUCUAUUGCAUCACCUUUGACCAAAUUAACCCAAAAGGGUGAUCCUUUCAGGUGGUCGGACGAGUGUGAGGCAAGCUUUCAAAAGCUCAAGAUUGCCUUGACCACCACUCCAGUUCUAGUUCUACCAUCAGUUGCUGGUUCUUAUACAGUAUAUUGUGAUGCUUCUUGGAUCAAUAUUAGGUGUGUAUUGAUGCAGGGGUAGAGUGAUUUCUUAUGCUUUGCGCCAGUUGAAGCCCUAUGAGAAGAACUACUAUGUUCAUGAUUUGGAGUUGGCUGCCAUAUUUCAUGCGUUGAAGAUUUGGAGAUACUAUCUCUAUGGUGUGUCUUGUGAGGUGUUUACUGAUCAUCAUAUCCUCCAACACUUGUUCAAAUAGAAGGAUCUCAAUUUGAGGCAGCGGAAACGGUUGGAGCUGCUAAAGGACUAUGAUAUUACUAUUUUGUAUCACCCAUGAAAGGUCAAUGUGGUGGCCGAUGCCUUGAGUAGGAAGGUAGUAAGUAUAGGCAGUCUUGCAUUCAUUCUUGUUGGGGAGAGACAUCUUGUGGUUUAUGUUCAUAAUUUGUCCAACCAGCUACAGAGAUUGGAUAUUUCGGAGCCCAAUCGGGUUCUAGCUUGUGUGGUUUCUCGGUCUUCCUUGUUUGAUCGCAUUAGAGAGCGCCAGUAUGAUGAUCCUCAUUUUCUUGUCCUCAAGGACAAUGUGCAGCAUGAUGAUGCCCGAGAUGUGACUAUUGGAGAUGAUGGGGUGUUGAGGAUACAUGGUCGGAUAUGUGUGCCCAAUGUAGAUAGACUUCGGGAGUUGAUUCUGGAGGUAUUCCAUCCAUCCGGGUGCCGCAAAGAUGUACCAGGAUUUGAGACAACACUAUUGGUGAAGGAGAAUGAAGAAAGAUAUAAUUGGGUUUGUAGCUCGAAGUCUCAACUGUUAUCAGGUAAAAUAUGAGCAUCAAAGGCUAGGUGGCUUGCUUCAGCAGAUAGGGAUUCCAGAGUGGAAGUGGGAGCGGAUCACCAUGGAUUUCGUAGAUGGGCUCCUAUGGACUUUGCGAAAGUUCGAUGCUAUUUGGGUAAUUGUGGAUCGGCUGACCAAGUCCCCGCACUUCAUUCUUGUGAGUACUACAUAUUCUUCAGACUGGUUGGUUGAGAUUUACAUUAGAAAGAUUGUUCGCCUACACAGUAUGCCAGUUUCCAUCAUUUCAGAUAGAGGCACGUAGUUCACAUCGUAGUUUUAGAGAGUCGUGCAGCGAGAGUUGGGCACUCAGGUUGAGUUGAGCACAUCAUUUAAUCCUCAGAAGGAUGGAAAAUUCGAGCGCACUAUUCAAAUAUUAGAGGACAUGUUACGUGCGUGUCAUUGAUUUUGGUGGUUCAUGAGACCAGUUUAUGCCCCUCUCAGAGUUUUCUUACAACAACAGUUAUUAUUCGAGCAUUCAGAUGGCUCCGUAUGAGGCUUUAUAUGGGAGGCGGUGUAGAUCCCCAGUGGUUUGGUUUGAGUUGGGCGAGGCUAGGCUAGUGGGUACUGACUUGGUUCAGGAUGCUUUGGACAAGGUUAAAUUGAUUUAGGAGCGACUUCGCACAGUGCAGUCAAGACAGAAGUGUUAUGCCGAAAGAAAGGUCCAUGAUGUGUCUUACAUGGUUGGGGAGAAGGUUCUUGCUAAGGUUUCACCCAGUAAGGGUGUUAAGAGAUUCGGGAAGAAGGGAAAGUUGAGCCCUCGGUUUAUUGGGUCGUUUGAGGUGCUUCGGAAGAUUGAGGAGGUGGCCUAUGAGCUUGCUUUUCCACCAAGCUUAUCGGGUGUGCGUCCACUAUUUCAUGUUUUUAUGCUUCAGAAGUAUAUCGAUGAUCCAUCCCAUGUUUGGGAUUUUAGCAUGGUUCAGUUAGAUGGUGAUUUGACUUAUGAUGUUGAGCUUGUGGCUAUUUUGGAGCGGCAAGUUCGAAAGUUGAGGUCAAAGGAUAUAUCUUCAGUGAAAGUGCAAUGUAGAGGUCAGCCCGUGGAGGAGGCAACUUAGGAGACAGAGCAGGAGAUGCGGAGCAGAUAUCCACACCUACUUAUGGCUCCAGGUAUGUUUCUAGACCCGUUCGAGGAUGAACCUUUGUUUAAGAGAGGGAGGAUGUAACGACCCGACCGGUCAUUUCGAGAGUUGUAGCCCCAUUCCGCUAUGUAUGCAGUAAAACUGGGGGCUCGAUUUCCCCGUCAUUACGUCGCCUCGUGGGCAUGCUUAUUGAGUCUUGAAGCCAAGGUCGAGACCCACCCUUGGGCGUCAUCGGGUAUUGGCCCCAGGGGCAUUGCGUACUAACGACUACAAUAUGGGAAAAGGGGAGUUCCCAAGAUGAACAGAUAGCACUGGCAGAACCUGUUAUCGCAUCUGGCCGUCCAAUCUCCAUGCCCUUACAAUUAAUGCACUCUUGUACUAUGUUUGGAUAUCCCCUCCUAUAUAAGAAGGGUCCUUGGCACUUUGUAAACCUUGUUGCUCAAACUAUUCUGCAUAAGAUCAAUAACAUCUCUCUCUCUCUUUUCUUUCUAACUUACUCGCUCGAAACUACCUCUUUCAUUUAUUGCUUUUACAUUUGUUGCUUUCACAUUUGUUCUUCUUUUAUUGCUCCCCAAAGGUCAUAAAGAGCAUAUAACGAUUAUACUCUAACUGUUAGCCCUUCCUGAUUAUCCCCGAUAGCUCGAGCCCGAGCCCAGGCAUCGACCUCGAGGCCCCUCAUCGGUCAGUACAAGACCCGGAUAGCAAGCCCCUCAGUUUGAUUAUAAUCCUGUUUUAGUUCAUAUUUCGUUGUUAAGCUUCACAUAUCUAGCAUCAACUGCCCUAACAACUAGCAUAAAAAUAGAUCACGUAUUUUUAGAGUCCCAUUAACAAAUCUAAUUGUUAUUAUCAUUUUCACGGUAAACAGUUUGGCCCCCACCGCGAGGCUAAAAAUAAUAGUGAUUAUUUUCUUGCUGGUUUCGUUACAUAACGCAAGGUAUCUUUCACACUUUUUCUUGUCCAAGACCUUCGAUUUCAGGACAAAACAUCUGGCUCAGUAAACAGAAUGGGGAACUAGAACCUUGAAAACAGCAAAGAGAAGGACACGACUACUCCAGAUGUCGGUACACCACCGAACUCAACCCGGGCGGAAGGGGAGGCUCUCCGACAUGUCGUCCACAUGAUUAUUGGAGGAACGACAUUCCCCAAGGACCCAUGUUCAAACGGAUGAGAACGUCCACCACGGAAGAGGGACCAACCCGAAACCGCGUGCCCGAAGACACCCUCGUAUUCAGCGAGGAGGACCUCGAGGCCAUGAUAGGACCGUGUCACACCUCAUUUUUCUAAUCCGAAAAAGGAUAUAUAAUGGAGUUUUCCCAAUUAAAGUGACAAUAAUAGAAAUGAUAUUACAAGCUCAAACAAUUUCCGGAUGCAUGAUUUUUUUGUAAAUAAGUAUUGGGUUUUGUUUAACUAAAUCAAAUGACAAUAAAACUACAAUAUUCUAAAUCAAGGAUAAUUCAAUGGUAAAAAGAUAUUGGGUGUUGAUUUUCCCAAUUGCUUGAUUACUUCUUGACUCCUUUGCUAUAAUCUCACUGUAAUACUCUAUGAGGAUUAUGAGCUAUGGGUUACUGCAAUUAUCUCUCAAUCAACUACGAUAAUUUACUAGAGCAUUCUCUAGAACUACUCUAGCUGAUAAUUUAUGCAGCUCUAAAUUAUCCCACCAAAGUUUCGUUAUCUCUAACCCCACUUUUAAGUUCAAGUAAUGAAUCUCUUCAAUUACCCAAAAGUGGCGUUGUUCAACAGCAAUCUAACGUAGUAUUCUUUCUCAAGCAACACAAGGCAAUUAGACACGAUUAAUCAAGGGCCCAUUCAAUUAAUCACCAUACAAAACAUAGUUGAACAAUCAUAUAAUAAACCCGGCUCGAUUAUAACAAACUUGAGUUAAAACUUCAUCUAACAAUUGAUUCCACCAACACUAGAUUAAAUUUUAGCUACUCAUAGUAAAUCAAGAUAAAACCAUAAAAUGAUUCAUAAUUCGCAAAUAAUGAUAACAAGAAGAAGAUAGAAAAACUCUAAUGGUGUCUUGAUCUUAUCACACUUGUUCUUGCCUCCAAUUCAGUCCAAAAACUAGCUCUCCCUUUACUUGGGCGAGUUUGUUGAGUUUAUAUAGGGUUAGGAUAAGCUCCCCCACGAUUUACACUUUGGCCCUUAAACUUCUUGUCUUCCUCCAGAUCCACCGCGGUGGUUUGCAACAUUCUAUUUUUUUCCCUUCUUUUACCGCGUUCCAGUCGCGGUGGGCUGUUGCCCAGUUUUUCUUUACCUUUUCUUGCUUGUUUUCAUCCGGGCUCUUCUUGAUUGGCCUUGUAACUGCAUAUUUGACCCCAAAACACUCUAUAUUCUUCUCCUAACUUGGAGUACUACCUGCAAAGCAUAAAAACCUCAAUUAGAGCAUUUUAUUAUCAUUUAGCACUUAAAACAUCAACAAAGUAUGGUUAACUUAGAGCAUAAAUAGCGUCUACAUCGUAUAAUAUAGGCUACUAUCAAUCAUAAGCAGCAUCUUAAUGGGGAUAAUAGUAUUUAGGGUCCUUAGGAAGCAUAUAUUAUUGGUUGAAUGCCCAACGGGCCCCCUUCGAGCUCGAAGCCAUCAUGGCUCCCUCUUCUCUCCAAUUUCUGUUCAUCAAACCCUCCAAACCAUUCUGAACGGCCUGUGAUGUGGCCUUAAAGGCAGCAUGACUCAAGAUUCAGCCCGUUUUAACCCAUAUUCUACUACCUCCCCAAUUUUGGUAGCCUCAGCGAACGACUUACCCAUAGUAGACAUCAUGUUCUGGAAAUAAUCCGCCUCUUGGGCUUGUAGGAAGACCGUAACCAUCUCAGCUUCCUCCAUUGAAGGCUUUACCCUGGCAACUUGCUCACGCCAUUUGAUAGCAUAUUCAUAGAAGCUUUCUCUUGUUUUCUUUUUUAAAUUGGACAAAGAGUUUCUGUCAGGAGCGAUGUCCACAUUAUACCGGAACUGGCAGACAAAAUCUCGGGCCAAGUCAUCCCACACAUGCCAAUGGAUAAUUUCUUGAUCCAUGUACCAUUUAGAAGCGAUUCCUGCAAGACUUUCGCUGAAAUAUUCCAUCAAAAGUUCUUCUUUUCCACCAGCACCUCUCAGCUAAUUGCAAUAUCUUUGUAAAUGGGCAAUCGGAUCUCCGUACCCGUCGUACUUUUAAAUUUUGGCAUCUUGAAGCCAGCUGGCAAGUGGACAUGAGGAAACAUGCACAGGUCAGAGUAUGAGACACUCUUUUGACCCCUCAGGUAUUGCAUGUUUUUCAGCCUUUGUUCCAGGCUUUUCAUCUUCCGAGCCAUUUCCUCUUGCUCGGGAUUCCUGACAACCUUUUCUAACUCCAUGGAGAAAUCAUAUUGCAGAGGUUGAACAACGGAGUACGGGGUCACAUAUGAUAUUUCUGGUUGAAACUGUGGACCCUAAAAGGUGAACGUUGGAGGCUCAACAUAUGGUCGUGAUAUAGUUGGUAGAGCCGUGGUGCAGACUGGUGCUGCAGAGAACAUUGCUGGUGGUGACCUUGAAUCCGGUUCUUAGGGGCAAACCACAAAAGGCAUUACGAGGCCGUUAAACGACAUUGAAGGGUACCCGUAUAGCAAGAAUGGGUUGAGCACAUGGGCAUUGGUAGUCUCCCCUGACCUAGGGAUCAACUUAGGGAACCCAGGGAUUGUACUUGGCGGUUCCCUACCAUUAGACCCGGCGUCCCACAUUUCUAUCAUGUAAAGAUGCAUCAUCCUAUUCUCUUCAGCAUUUGCUGAUUCUAGUUGCGAAAUAGCCAAUGCCGGGCUAUCCUCAGGAUCGAUAAUUGGUAAAUGAAUUUCGUAGGCCAUAAGAACCUUUCCUUUGGAUCUUGUGAAGUAAGGAUGGGAAGCCAGAUUACCAACAAAACCAACCACCUGAAUAGAACUUGGCUAGUUAGCACACGUCACAACCUUGUUAGUUUUGAGACUUUUAACAUAUAGGAAAUCACACAUUGAGAUGCAAUGCACCUAACAAUUAAACGAUUCUAUCAUGUAUUUGAACGGUGCGUGUUUCAUCCCGGCCUUUCAAUGUCCCUUUCCACUCUGUACCUCUUUUCUUUCAUUUUCACUCUUUUUUUUGGAUCUUUCACAUCUUGAUUUUUUUUUUCUCUUUUUAUAGUUUUUGCUCUUUGUUUUCUCUCUGUUAUUUUUGGUCACUCUUUUCUUUAUUUUUCAUUCAAUUUUUCUCUCUUUCUUUCUUUUUUAUUUUUUUGGUUUAUUUUUCACUCAAUUAAUUUUACGGCUACGAUCGAAUCUGAUAGGGAUUGCCUACGUAUCAUGACGCCGCAUGAAUCAGAUCAUUAUGUAGUUCAGGAAAAUCAGGAGUGGAGUAAACAAACUAACUCUUUUUUUGUACUUUUUUAUAACACUCAGAUAAUAAAAGUGUUUAGAAAAAGAAUAUAUAUUUUGCAUAUUUUGGGGAAUUUCGCAAAAGAAAGCCUUUUAAAGAGGAAAGAAAAUAUUUUUAGAUUUUUGGUUUUAAUUUUUGAAAAAAAAAGACUUCUAAAGGAGAAAUAAAAUAUUUUUAGACUUUUGAUUUGAAUUUUUUUUUGAAUUUUUGUGAAAUAGACUUCUGAAAAAAAAGGUAGAAAUUUUUCAAUUUUUGAGUUUUCUUUAUAAUUUCCUAAAGCAAACUUGUGAAGAAAAGCGAAAAUAUUUUUGGACUUCAACUUUUUAAUUUUGUGACAUUUGCAAAAGAAGACUUCUAAAAAAUAAAAAUAUUUUUUUAUGGAAUUUUGUUUCUUAUUUAUUUAUUAAUUUUUGGGAAAAAUAAUUUUUAAGAAGGGAAAAACAUAUUUUUGAAUUUUUAUUAUUUAUUUUUUUGUUUUGUUUUUGAAUAAAAGACUUCAAAACAGAAGGAAAUAUUCUUGGCUUUUAUAAAAAAAAAUCUCUUUUUUUGUUUGGGAUUUUCUAUCAAAAGACUUCUAAAUAAGGAAUUAAAGGAAAAUAUUUUUGGAUUUUUGAACAUUGGGGCCGAGACCGACAAGGUUUGCCUACGUAUCUCACAUCUACUAAGAACUAGACCCACAUAGUUCGGCCAGUGUGAGCACGUGAUUUUUGCCCUAUAUGUAUUACUCUAACAAAUUCAAAACAAAAUAAUUUCUUUCAGUGUUUGUAAUUUUGGGGGAUUUUCGUGGCAUUUUCUAGUAAUUGUUUGCAUUUGUCUGUGCAUUUUUAUUUUAUUUACUUAAUGAAAAUUACAAGAAAUAUGUUGCAUUUGCAUUUAGGAUUUAACUUUAUAUUUUUAGGAUUAAUUGACAAAUUAUUUUAUAAAAAUAGGGAAAAAUCACAAAAAAUAGUUUAUUUUGCACUUUUAAUUUUAAUUUUGAAUUUUAGUAGUUUUUCCUUUUAAUUUGGUUUUUAAUUAUUUGUAGUAAUAAUUAUUAGGGCUAGUUAAUUUAAUAUGGUAGGAUAAUUUGGUUUAGAAUUUAAUUUAGGUUUUAAUUUUAAUUUUGGAAAAUAGAAAAAAAAAAGAAUUGUGAAAUUGAAAAAAAGAAAAAGAAAGAAAUAAGAGGAUUUAAAUCUAGGCCAAAAUCAACCCAGAUUUCCCCAUCCCAAACAUAAUCACCCAUGCACCCGGCCGAAACCCACGCCUCACCCGGUCCAAACCCCCCAACUAAGUCAAACGGUGCCGUUUUUUUCUUGUUGAUCUGGACCGUUGAUCUCAGUUGAUCAAACGGUCCGCAACUUAGCCCUUACUUGAUAUAUAUCUGUCCUAACGCCCUACCCCCCCCCCCCAUUUCAUCGUUCCAAACACCCCCGUCUAUCAGAGAACACAAGCCUAACCCCAGCAGUCAGGAGCCCGCCUAAAGAGUAGGGAAUACUUUCAAGCGCAACAGUCAGGAGCCCACCUGGAGAACAAGGGAACACAAUUUAAGUUUUUAGCUUUCUUGUCUAUUUGAAGUCAGGAGCCCGCCUGGAGAGCAGGGAAUACUUUCAAAUGCAGCAGUCAGGAGCCUGCCUGAAGAGUAGGGAAUACUUUCAAGCGCAACAGUCAUGAGCCAUACUGGAGAACAAGGGAGUACAAUUUAAGUUUUUAGCUUUCAAAUUCUUUGUUUUGUCUAUUUGAUGUCAGCAGCCCGCCUGAAGAGCAGGGAAUACUUUCAAAUGCAGCAGUCAGGAGCCCGCCUGGAGAACAAGGGAGUACCAUUUAUGUUUUAGCUUUCAAAUUCUUUGCUUUGUUUAUGUUGAAGUCAGGAGUCCGCCUGAAAAACAGGGAAUGCAUUUCAAGUCAGUAGUCAGGAGCCCGCCUGGAUAGCAUGGGAAAUACAUUCGCAUUUUGAAGUCAGGAGCCCGCCUAGAUAGCAGGGAAUACAUAUCAAGUUCAGCAGUCAGACACCCACCUGAAGAAGGGGAAAACAUCUCAGUUUACAAUUUAAGGUGGCAACAAACGGAUGUCUACGAAAGAAUGGAGAACAACAAGGCAACAAAAAGCACAAGAUCAAGUUUGAAGAUAUAGAUAGGACUUUUGUAAUCCAUAGAUCAUAGUCUAGUCUAGCUUCUUGUUUUAUUUUGACAUGGUGUAAUAAGGAGGUUCAGUAAGUAGUAGCAGCAGCAGCAGCAGUGGAAGCCCAAAUUCAUGGUAGUCCCAGCUACCAAACAUUCCUAAACUACACUGACCUGAUUCCUUUUUAGUGAAGGAUUUGUAGGUAACCUCGGAAGUAGGGUGCGGUCAAAUCUUUCAAAAAUGCUUCACGCGGAGUAUUCAAACGGACAAAAAUCACUCGUAUCCGCUCACUUAUCUUUGCACAAAAACUCUUCGUGUUUUCGGGCAAAGAGGGGCAGCUGAGAGCACGUGAUUUUUGCCCUAUAUGUAUUACUCCAACAAAUUCAAAACAAAAUAAUUUCUUUCAGUGUUUGCAAUUUUGGGGGAUUUGCGUGGCAUUUUCUGGUAAUUGUUUGCAUUUGUCUGUGCAUUUUUAUUUUAUUUAGUUAAUGAAAAUUACAAGAAAUAUGUUGCAUUUGCAUUUAAGAUUUAACUUUACAUUUUUAGGAUUAAUUGACAAAUUAUUUUAUAAAAAUAGGGAAAAAUCACAAAAAAUAGUUUAUUUUGCACUUUUAAUUUUAAUUUUGAAUUUUAGUAGUUUUUUCCUUUAAUUUGGUUUUUAAUUAUUUGUAGUAACAGUUAUUAGGGCUAGUUAAUUUAAUAUGGUAGGAUAAUUUGGUUUAGAAUUUAAUUUAAGUUUUAAUUUUAAUUUUGGAAAAUAGAAAAAAAAAAAGAAUUGUGAAAUUGAAAAAAAGAAAAAGAAAGAAAUAAGAGGGUUUAAAUCUAGGCCAAAAUCAACCCAGAUUUCCCCAGGUCAAACAUAAUCACCCAUGCACCCUGCCGAAACCCACGCCUCACCCGGUCCAAACCCCCCAACUAAGUCAAACGACGCCGUUUUUUUCUUGUUGAUCUGGACCGUUGAUCUCAGUUGAUCAAACGGUCCGCAACUCAGCCCUUACCUGAUAUAUAUCUGUCCUAAUGCCCUACCCCCCAUUUCAUCAUUCCAAACACCCCCGUCUAUCAGAGAACACAAGCCUAACCCUAGUUGAGCCGCCCCUAAAUCCGCCAUCGUCCGGUGGCGGCACCACCUCCAAACGCCACCAAAACAACACCCCAUGACCCCCCACUCCCCUCUUUCUAAAUUCCGGACCAAUUUCCUUCGAAUCUGCCCAGAACUUCUCGAAUCUUGAUCUGAAGAAAAGAACCCUAAAAUCCCAAAGUCCAAAUCAACGGGUGUGCUAAAGAUUUCAGACUGUAAUGGACUUUAUUCGGGUUUUUUCACAUGAAAACACACGAUUAAGGGCUAUUCCGGUCAGGAAUUUGAAAAGCCCUUCAAAGUUUGUCGAAUCGGCUCCUGGCUGGUGUUAGGUAUCUUCUUUGUUCGUUUUGUUUAUUUGUUUAUCUUUUCUUUUGUGUUUCUGCUUCAUCUCUUCUUCUGGGUUUUGUUUAGUUGUUCCGGAGUUUUGUUAUUCAUGCAUGAUUAGUUCGGGAUCCUUUUUUAAUUAGUUAAUCGUCUAGUAGUUCAGUUAAUUCCCUCUAUUUGUGUCAGUUAGUAGUAAUUUAGUUUAGGGUCUUAGUUUUAAAAAUUGUUCCAGUACUUGGAUGGUUCUGUCUCUCAGAAGCUCAUAGAAUUUAGGGUUGUUAAUGUACGAAUUGGGCUUUAGUCUGUUGUUGACCCAUCUCGAAAAUGUAGCCCAUUUAAUUUGGUCUAUAUCCUUGGGUCUAUUUGACCCGUUUGGAUUUCUGAAGUAAUUUUCAAAGGGUUAAGGGGUAAAUUAGGUAAUUGAUUUAGGGAAUCUAGGGUGUAACUGUUUGGGAAGCUUCUGGGAAGCUGGGGAGGGGACUACUUUGCAAAAGCAGAAUUUAAACUAGGGGUGUUUAAGCUAAAAGGAAAAUCAAAAAAGGGACCAAAGGGCAAAAAUGAACUCUUAAGGCUGCCCUGUUUUCUUGCCUAUAAAGGCAUCAUUUUCUUGCCUUUCAAGGCAGACCCAGGAGACUUGAAAAAGAAUAAAAAUUCUAGAAAACAAAAACAGCUGAAACUUCUACAGAGAAUACUGUUUCAUUGGGUUUUAGCUUUGUAAUCUGAAAUCCUCUUCUUUCUGAAUAGAUGUUCCUGAUUGUUUGAGCUUAGAAAUGGUUUGAAACUUAGUCAUUAAGGUUGGUUCUGAGGGCAGCUAGUUUAAUUGUGUGUUUGAGACUGGUUUCUGGGCUGCAAUACUUCAUUUCUGGGCUUUUGAACAUGUUUUGUUGGUCUGUUUCUGUUACUGGAACCUGCUGCUGAUUCCGUGUUGUCUACUGCUGAUUUUCCCUUUUUCUUAUUUCGUUUAAUUCCAGGUAUUCCUUGAUUCUAUAGGAGAUAAAAUGCAAGUAUGAGAGCUAUAAUUACAUGAAGAUCUCCAUGAAUGAAUACUGUUUUCCUUUUUUUAAUCAUCAAUAUUAGCUGUUUACUUGGAAUUUCUGGAGUUUAGUGGUAUAUUAUAAUGGCAUUUAGCCUAAUCUGUCCAUUUUAAUAUAACAGUAGUAUGUUACUCCUUAGAAAACUCAUGUUGCCUUUCGUUUGUGAUGAAAACACAUGGUCUGAUGGUUUGAUUGUAUGUAAGUAGUUCAGAACAUUUGGAUCUUGUAUAUAGGGACUGUGAUUUAAGCCAUUCACUGUUUGUUAUGCAUAUUUUCAAGCAUGUGGUUAGACUCUGUUGAGUUUUAGCUUAUUAUUUAGUUUUUGUCUGAAAUCAGAAUGCAUGCGAUUAAAAGGGGUAACUGCCUGCUUUGGUGGGAAUAAAAUUUUAUGAAUACUGGUCUGAUUGGCAUAAGUCUCUGGGUACUCAAGGUAAUUGGGUGCAUGCAUUGGGUUGAGAAUGAAUUUUUGACUUGUUUAGAUAUGUAAAAACUUUCUAUGGUAGGAUAAGGUCAAAAUGCAUUACUCAUUAUGAUACAAGUUUAAAACUAGAUCAAACAUGCUGUCCAUGAUGAGAAUUCCAUUGUCAUUGCUUGCUAAGAAAAACGAGCCCAGAGGUUGUUUGCACACAUAUUGGUUUUUUUUAUUGUUGAAUAUCGCUGGUUUUUGGCCAGCCGAGACUCGAUACUGAGUUCUCCACUCAGACCUGUUGAGGCUUCGAAAUUGGGCUCAUUUAUGGGCCCAAGCUUAACAGCUUCUUUCGAGUAUGAUUUCGGUCGUAAUUGCGGCCCAGUCAUGCCCAGGCCUUUCACUAGCCUUUCUGGCUCUGGACUUCACAUAGGAAGCCCAUUUGUGGUCUUUGAUUGUUAAUUAAACGACCAUAGGGAACUUUAACUUCAUCGAGUGCUAAAUAAUUCAGCCUUUAAAACAAUUGAGGUGAACGAUGUUAAUGACGCCAAUAGUUUAUGGCCCUCAUAAUUUUAAAAAUAAAAAUUUUAGGCAAUUAGAUUUGAGGCGUGCCAUUUAGCGAUUUCCCAGGGCCCUCGUAAAAUUAAAAUGCGUAGUCGCUUUAGGGCGCGUUAUUUAAUGAUUUUACUUUCUUAAACUCGGGUGCGCAUUUCAUGUGACCCAAGUCAAAUCUUAAAAUAUUGAAUGAAAUAUAUUUAGGACUGCGGGUGCAUUUCAUGUGGUGCGAUCCAAAGACGUGUUUUAAACGACGUUCAAUCUUCUUUUUAAAAUAAUUAAAAACGGUUAAAAGUUAAAAUUAUACCAUAUGUUAAAACAUGUACUAAAAUCAGAUAAUAGACCAAUUAUAACAGUUGAGCGACCGUGCUAGAACCACGGAACUCGAGAAUGCCUAACACCUUCUCCCGGGUUAACAGAAUUCCUUAUUCGGAUUUCUAGUUCGCGGACUGUUAAACAGAGUCAACCUUUUCCUCGAUUCGGGAUUUGAACCGGUGACUUGGGACACGAUAAAUCUCUCAAGUGGCGACUCUGAAUCUUUUGAUAAAUAAAUCCCGUGUCGAUUCUCCUUUAAUUGGAAAAACUCUUUUUAUACACCCCUCUCGGGGGUGUAGGUGAAAAAGGAGGUGUGACAACCAGUUUUGAUGGAACAGGGGGAACAUGACUUUUUGAACACAUUGGCUUAUUUUUUUUUGUCUUUUUUUUAAAAAAAAAAUUCGGUAGAGUUUCGGAUUUCAAAUACCUACCUAUCACUCUUUUUUUUCAUUUUUUUUCUUUUCCUAUUCUAGAAGCCAGUCAACAUGCAAGCCGAAACAAAAAAAUGCACAGGUAACACGUAAAAUGCAUCAGGAUAGUUUUUUUAAUUUGGGCACACCUGUCCUAGACGGAUCCAACCCCUGCGUUGAGUCCCCAAAGUCAAAUGCAUGUGAUGCAAACAAACGUUCCUACUAGGAAUCCAACAUGAGGCUAUGUUAUUCUAAGAUUAAAUCCUGGAGUGUAUUGUUCUAGACCUGGCUUACCCGAGCGGACAACUCGAGCCGAUGAGGGGCAGUGUACAGGGAAUAUAGAAGCUUCACCAGCUUUGCAACUUAUCCGAUCCUCGUUCUAAAAUUAGGAUAUGACUCCAACAGAAAAAAAAGUCAUGCCAGAGUACACUUCCCAGAAGAUUUUGAAGACUCAGAGAGAAGAAGGGUUUCGUAACAGUUUUAUAUACAGUUCACAUAAUAUCAAAGCGGCAUUUAGCAUAUUAGGAUCAAACACGUAAAAAUCAGAUAAUAAGCAAAAGCAAAGUAUCACAGUUAUUCUAAAAUCGAAUUAUGAACCAUGAACCAGAGAUUCUGGGUUUGAUUCUCCCAGCAGAGUAGCCAGAUCUGGCACACCUCAUUUUUCCCGAGGGGUAGGGAGUUUUUUCAAUUAAUGUAUCAUUGUUCGAAAUGAGAUUAUUUAUUGAUUCAGAGUCGCCACUUGAAAUAAUUUAUGGUGUUUCAAAUCACCGAUUUAUUUUAAAUACCAAAUCGAGGAAAUUUGACUCUUAUUUAUGGUCUGCGAAUACAGAAGACCGAGUAAGGAAUCUUGUAAACCCGGGAGAAGGUGUGAGGCACUCCCGAGUUCCGUGAUUUUAGCACGGUCGCUCAACUAUUAUUAAUUGGCCUAAUUAUCUAAAUUAUUAUAUGGUCAGAACCUAUUGUGUAUUUUUAACUUUCUAACCGCUUUUAUUUAACCAUUUUUAGUAUUUAUGGAAUAUGUUUGAAUAAGCCGCGAUGUCGCGCACUCAUUUGUUUUUGUAAAAACUGCGAAUCCAUCACGUGAAAUGCACCCACGAUUUACAACAUGUUUAUUUUAUUAUUAUCUGAUGUUAUGGUCGAGUCAUGUGAAACGCACACUCGAAUUAGGAUUUUGUAUCAUGACUAUGCCACGGGAACCGUACCCAUAGUCACGAUGAUUUAUUAAUUGCGCAUAAAUCAAGCUUGAUGUUCAUGAAUAAUUAUUAUUCCUAUGUUUAAGAUCGAUCAUGAAGGUCCAAAGUUUAUGGAAAAGCAUAUGGCAAUGCUUAACUAGACAACUUCAAUUAUUUAACAAGUUCAAAUUAAUGUCUUUUGUUUUUCCUUCAAAUGUUGAUGGAGCUCACGUCAAACAAGGAAAACCACUAAUAAUAAACUAAGUGGGUGUUCUUUUCUUGAUUACUUAUAUCAAACAUGGAUUAUUGCUAGAAAAAUUAUGGGAAGCCUCACUGCGCUGGGCCUUCAUAUUAAACCUCCAAUUAGGUCAUGCAAACAAGAACAGAAAUGGGUUCACUGGAAUCCGAAAGUGACUCUUGAAAAUGGCUAGCCCUUUAAGUAGGCCAACAAAUCUUUUGUGGGGCCUUAAACCAUUAAUCCAUACAUUUGUCGAGUCCAAACUGACUCUCAUUUCAUACACGAUCCAUCGACGUGUAGUUUUCUUAACGUGAUUUUGAAAGGCAUAAAUCAAUUAAUACACAUGUUUAUACUACAACAUAUUCAAUAUAUUGAAGAAACAGAACCAAAGAAGAACGUAUCCACACAUGUAAUUUCUUCUAACAAACUACAGUAUCAUUCAUUAUUACAUUCACAAUUACCAAGAUCUAGAGCAUAUAACAAAUUUACAUGCUUUCAGUUCCAUAUGACCUUCAACGAAUGACCUUCAGCUAUCCAAAUUUCCUAUGACUUUACCUGUUUCUCAUUAAAGAUUUAUCCAAAUACUUAAUUUUUCUAGUAAUUUCAGAGAUUAAAAAAGGAAAGAACUUCAAAUAGAUUUAGACUUUAGACAUGUUGAAUCCAAACUAUUGAACAUGAUUAGAGAAAGCAGUAUCAUAAUCUUAACAUGGAAACAAUUCAAAAUGCUUAACAACUACACAUGCUAAGUCUAUGCAUUUGGACAUAAUUAUGACAAAUAGAUCGAAUUUUCUCAUAUAGACUUCAAACAGGGGCAACAGAUAUGUGAACAUACCUAAGUAACCAAAGAAUAACAGAGAAUGGUCAAAGGAUGGUUUGAAAAUGAAAUAGGAAAUCCAGCAAGUCCAGCAGCAGUGGAUUCAAUAACUUCAACACCUCUAACAGCUCAAUCGACUCAGAGAAAACCAGAAAAUAUAGUGAUUGAAUAGAAAUCAGAAAACCAACUCUAGACAUCCUUCUUCAUCCCUUUUUAUGACCUUUUUCCUUGCCUUUUUGGGAGUUUUAAACUUUUUCUAAAUCUGAAGACUAGAGGUUGAAAUCCAGAGUUUUGUUUGAAUUAAAAAAAAUGAGGAGAAGAUAGUGAAUUCUCUUAAAAUUUCUCUCGACAGUGUGAAAAUUUGUCUCAAAAACGAAGAAAAGAGUAUGAAUUUCAGAGUGUGUUUUCGUGUGUGUGAGUGAGUAAUAUAUGGCCCUCUUAUAUAGAGUGUGAGAAUAUGUUAUGUGCACACAAAAAUUAGAGAAUAAUUCUGGAA